rnacentral:rRNA from 1 species
GAGUUUGAUCCUGGCUCANGAUGAACGCUAGCGGGAGGCUUAAUACAUGCAAGUCGAGGGAGGAAUUGUUUUUCGGAAUAAUGGACACCGGCGCACGGGUGAGUAACGCGUACACUACCUACCUUAUACUGGGGAAUAGCCUUUGGAAACGAAGAGUAAUACCCCAUAGUCCCGCAAGGGUAAAGCUCCGGCGGUAUAAGAUGGGUGUGCGUUUGAUUAGCUAGUUGGUAAGGUAAUGGCUUACCAAGGCUACGAUCAAUAGGGGGCGUGAGAGCGUGAUCCCCCACACGGGUACUGAGACACGGACCCGACUCCUACGGGAGGCAGCAGUAAGGAAUAUUGGACAAUGGGCGAAAGCCUGAUCCAGCCAUCCCGCGUGAAGGAUGACGGCCCUAUGGGUUGUAAACUUCUUUUGCUGGGAAAGAAACGCCUGGAUUUAUCCAGGCCUGACGGUACCUUGCGAAUAAGCACCGGCUAACUCCGUGCCAGCAGCCGCGGUAAUACGGAGGGUGCAAGCGUUAUCCGGAAUCACUGGGUUUAAAGGGUGCGUAGGCGGCGUUAUUAGUCAGAGGUGAAAUCUUGCAGCUUAACUGUAAAAUUGCCUUUGAAACUGUAAUGCUUGAAUCACGUUGAGGUCGGCGGAAUGUGACAUGUAGCGGUGAAAUGCAUAGAUAUGUCAUAGAACACCAAUUGCGUAGGCAGCUGACUAGGCGUGUAUUGACGCUGAGGCACGA